UACAGAGGGGGCUGGCGUUAUUCGGAAUUAUUGGGCGUAAAGGGCGCGUAGGCGGCCAUGCGUGUCUUCCGUGAAAUCCCUCGGCUUAACUGAGGACGUGCGGAAGAAACUGCAAGGCUCGAGUCCGGGAGAGGGGGGUGGAAUUCCCAGUGUAGCGGUGAAAUGCGUAGAUAUUGGGAGGAACACCGGUGGCGAAGGCGGCCCCCUGGACCGGAACUGACGCUGAGGCGCGAAAGCGUGGGGAGCAAACAGG
rnacentral:rRNA from 1 species